rnacentral:rRNA from 1 species
UACGAAGGGGGCUAGCGUUGUUCGGAAUUACUGGGCGUAAAGGGCGCGUAGGCGGUGUGUCAAGUCAGGCGUGAAAGCCCCGGGCUCAACCUGGGAACCGCGCUUGAGACUGGCACGCUCGAGUUCGGGAGAGGUGAGUGGAAUUCCGAGUGUAGAGGUGAAAUUCGUAGAUAUUCGGAAGAACACCAGUGGCGAAGGCGGCUCACUGGACUGGUAUUGACGGCUGAG